rnacentral:rRNA from 1 species
CGUGGGUAACCUGCCCAAGAGACUGGGAUAACACCUGGAAACAGAUGCUAAUACCGGAUAACAACACUAGACGCAUGUCUANAGUUUAAAAGAUGGUUCUGCUAUCACUCUUGGAUGGACCUGCGGUGCAUUAGCUAGUUGGUAAGGUAACGGCUUACCAAGGCAAUGAUGCAUAGCCGAGUUGAGAGACUUAUCGGCCACAUUGGGACUGAGACACGGUCCAAACUCCUACGGGAGGCAGCAGCG